rnacentral:rRNA from 1 species
UACGGGGGGGGGCAAGGCGUUGUUCGGAAUUACUGGGCGUAAAGGGCUCGUAGGUGGCCAACUAAGUCAGACGUGAAAUCCCUCGGCUUAACCGGGGAACUGCGUCUGAUACUGGAUGGCUUGAGUUUGGGAGAGGGAUGCGGAAUUCCAGGUGUAGCGGUGAAAUGCGUAGAUAUGCGGAGGAACACCGAUGGCGAAGGCAAUCCCCUGGGCCUGCACUGACGCUCAUGCACGAAAGCGUGGGGAGCAAACAGG